rnacentral:tRNA from 1 species
GUGGAUAUAGCUCAAUGGUAGAGCAAAUGCUUAGCAUGCAUGAGGUCCUGGGUUCAAUACCUAGUACCCCCA